GGACUACCAGGGUUUCUAAUCCUGUUUGCUCCCCACGCUUUCGCGCCUCAGCGUCAGUUGCGAGCCAGAAAGCCGCCUUCGCCUCUGGUGUUCUUCCUAAUAUCUACGAAUUUCACCUCUACACUAGGAAUUCCACUUUCCUCUCUCGCACUCUAGCAUUCCAGUAUGAAACGCACCUCCCGGGUUAAGCCCGGGGCUUUCACGCCUCACUUAAAAUACCGCCUACGCGCCCUUUACGCCCAGUCAUUCCGAACAACGCUAGCCCCCUCCGUCUUACCGCGGCUGCUGGCAC
rnacentral:rRNA from 1 species